CCCAGGGCACGCAGCAGCACACCAUUCCCUUCCCACAGCCUCCACCUCAGGCUGUCCCUGUGCCAAGGCGUUUGUGGCCCCGGCUUGGAGCUGGGCCCACACCAGAGCCUUGAUGAUGUGCAUCCCAAUGGAGCGAGGUUUUUUUCUGGUGCUGGAUGGAGAACUGCAAAAAUAAUUUUCCAGAAUGAGUUCAGAUAACAGUUGUUGCUGUGGACUAUCUUGCCAGUGAUUGUUUCCUGAAAUAUCGGUGGCUCAUCAAGGAGAAAUGAAUAUACUGAAGGGAAAUUCUUUCUAAGAUGUGAAUUGAGUGUCUGAGGAAAAUGUUGAGUUUCCUGGGACAGGUCAUCACAUGGAAUUUCAAGUUAUUACCAGUUGGAAGCUGCUGGAUCUUCCUGAGAAUACUUUUUACACUGAACCAGUGUGAUUCAUCGGUCGCUUCCAGCCAGAACUCAGACUGUGACCACAUCAGACUCAGUUGUCUGCUGGCUUCUCCAUUCGCAUCAGGAAAGUACUCAUCCAGAGCUCGUGGGGACUGCCUGGAACAAAAAUGAUAUGCAAAUGGCUUUGGUGGGUCCAAAGGCAUAAAAGGUCUGAAGAGGCCAGCCCUGGUCAUGGUCAACAGAUGAAGCAUAAGCAAACAGGGAGGUUAUUGAUUCAGCGCAGCAGUACCCUUUCUUCUAAUGCAAGGUCAGAGUAAAAGUUUGUCCAGAGACUGUUCAGGAGAUGCUGGAAUGAGUGCCAUCAGCUGCUCCAUCUUUUUAGAGAUUUAAAUACUUUCCAAGGGUUUCUGUUUCUGCAGCUUUGAUGUAGCUGGCAUGAGGAAGGAAUGGGAUUUGGAACAUGCUGGGGGAAUGUCUGCAUUUGUAUCAGUGCCCUGCAUGAAGACUUAUGUGCUGGGAGAUCAGAUCCACUCAUUCAAAUGAACUUCACACACGACAGUCCCCGUCCCUUGUCAGAAGCAGCAUGUGUCAUGCCUUGAAUCCUGCUCAGACCUGGGCCUGAACCCAACAGCUUGCAGAUGGAAUUGGCAGCUUGAGCUAAAGCAGAGCAUCUCACAAUUGGAGGUGUCAGAUCAGAGCACUCUCCACUUCUAUGAAUGUGGGAAUCUGGGUCAUGUCAUGCCUUGGCCAUUGUAAUGAAUGACAUUAGGUUCCUUUCUGCCACCUUUUCUGGAAAGGAGCUCGCUGAUUGAUAGGCAUAUGUACAAAACCACCUACAUGCGUUAGUUGACCCUGACAUAACUUCAGAAUACAUCCCAGGGUGACUUAAGAUAGAUCCAACCCGAAAGGCAGGCAAUUUAAAAUCUCAUCCCAUCAACUCCUGGUGCUGUACCAACGCAGCCGGCGGUGGUGGCCAGGUGUGCAGAAACACAGCGCUCUGUGCCCACAGUGCACACCGCAGCACCUGGCUGCCUGCAUAGGUGCCAUCAAUCACACAAGAACUGCAAUCCCCGUGCAUAUUCUGAGCCCUUGUGCCCAGCUAAGUGACAAAUGGAAGUUAAAGCUGUCAGCACGAUGGAAGCAAUGCAGCUGCGUAAGCCCAAGUGGGGGUAAAAAUAUCUUAGAAAAUGACAAAGGCAAGAUGAUGCACAACCCCUCCUUGCAGCCGCUGAAACGUGGGCCAGAAGUACUGCUCAGUGUUCUGAUCUCAGGCUGAGCUUUGGAAACCAGGGAUGAAGCCUCUUCUGAGCUGAGAACUGAGCCAAUUCAGAGCUGCAAGUGGCUUUCCUUCCAGCAUCUCCUCCUUUGUCCUCCCCUGUUCCCAUCUUUGCCACCGUUUGGAGUAGCAUGGGGACUCUGCCACAGGCAGCACUUUAUAAAUAGCGGAGAUAAAAGGCUUUUCCUGUUGGACCACUGAGUGAGGUUCACAUCGUUUUCCAGAUCCAAAUAAAACUCUUUUCUCCUCACUCAGCAGAAAUGGUCAGUAUUUUCCCAACAGAGGACCUAAUCUGAAGUUAAUGGACACCUGCCUAGUGGUCUCAAGUUGUUUGCAUCCAGCCCAGAGCAGUUGCUGGGGGCCAGUGGCACAGAGCUGCUGCUAUCCACCCUCCAAACAGGGAUGUUAAAAAUUAAAAGGGCUUAAUGGCUGUACCAGCAUGUCCUCUGACCUGCGGUGGUACAUGUGCUUCCUGAUUAAACAGCAAUGCCUCAGCUAUGUGCAUGGGGCUCAGUUUUGCAACACCUGAAAACAAAUAUUCCCUACCAAGCAGGGAGGCUAAGAAAUUGGGAGAGAAAUACAUGGACCGUAUGACCAGCUCUGCAGUCUGCAAAGAGGAUCAACCCAGCUGUCAGGUUCAGGUGGGUGUCUGCCUUUUGCUGUAUGUGAAGCCAUUGGGAGGACCACGGCGAUAGCCCAGCUCACAGAUCUCAUCUGCUCCCACGGGUCACCUGCAGGAACUCUCAUCUUCAUGCAGCUCAAGGAAACUGUGCCCAGACAUGUUUUUUCUCUCUCUUCUGGGAAGUGUGCAAUGGAGAGUUGCAUUUUCUCUUUCCUCCGCAACAUAUUCAAAUUUAUAGAAUGAGAUUUGUGAUAAUUGAGCUGAGAGCUGAAUGCUGAGCCUUCUCCAUAUCCCCCAGGGUUUUCCUGGGAACAAGAUGGAUUGCCCAGUGUGUUUCAAGCAAAAAAAAAAAAAAAAAAAAAAAAAAAGAAUGAAUAAAUAAAUUGGUGAAUAACAGCAUGCCUCAUUUUGCCUAUCUCCUAGAGAGAGAGGAAGCUGAUUCUUUAAGUAUCAGGAAUGUGCUCAUUAUGCAAAAAUGGCAGAGCAGAUGUACAUAUUCAUAAUAAGUAUAUUAAAAAUCUCAUUUUAGCUCUUUAGAAGACAAGUGCAAAUGCAAAAUUGGGUGCAAUUAUAUUUAUCGUCCCACCUAUGGUGUGUUUCCAUUUGGAUGUGUGUUUGUUGGAGCUGGCUGUAUGGCAUUUCCUGUGACUGAAAAAGCACAUUACCAAAACUCACAGCAUACAACACUUCAUGGCAAAGCUGAUCCAAGGCCUGCUGAAAAGGCUCGUACUGAGUUCAGCUUUGCAUUCAGGCAAGGGUUGGUCUCUGCGCAGCCCUAAGUGUGUUCACAGCCACAGAAAGAGCGGAGGACACAAUGAUGGUGGGGCCAUUCAUCACAGCUAUCGUUUAAUCAAAAUAACAUGAUGAACUGAUAAUUAGAUGCCCUUGCAACGACUGCCCCGAGCCAAAGCCCUGGGUAGGUCCCCUUCCAUACAGAGAAAUAAGUCAGAUGAGGAGUCUGCUGUGGACAAAGAGAUUAAUCUUGGGCAUCAGUAUGAACAAUAGUGGGAAACAGUGCUGCUCAGGGGCUGCUGGUCUGUGCCUGGGUGCUGGUUUGUACACGUCGGAUGCAAAUCUGUGUUCAGGGCUUUGGUGAGACGGUGUAAACUGCAGGCAGGUUGGCACUAGGGGUUCCCUCUUGGAACACGGAUGCUAUCCCCCAAAUAAAGGCACCAUAACUUGAGAGCUGGAAUGUCUUUAAUUUUUUAACAAUGUGGAGUUAAAAGCUGACAAAAUAGAAUUCCCCAUUGUCAGUAGUGCAAAAUUCAUUUUGUUUCUCUAAUUUUAUCUCCGAAACGAAUGUUGAAACCAGGCUGAUGGGCAGUGGUGAGACCUCCAGGCACAGUGGGAAUGCUAGUUAUUGUCUGAAGAGAGGGAUCCGUGUUCAAGUGUGCUGGGGUUAUCAUCAGUACAUCCAGGAAGAACACAGGGCUGUGUCGGUUGCAAUCAUUAGCAGAGCAACCUGUGUGGAGCAGAAGGAAAGCCUCUGCUUCUCAGCAUGUCUUUCCUUCUGUAAGGAAGACAUUUGCAAGUGCUUUCAUCCUCCCCAGCUUACAAGAGGAAAGGUUGUCUGCUUCCCAAGAUUUAAUGAGCUACACUUUGGAAUACUGUUAUGGACAUACAGGCCGUUUAACAAAUGUGGUGCCAGUGGAAAGUCACCAUCUUCCAAACUGAAAGAAAAUAUGGCUUAAGUAGCAGCAGAUCUCAUGUUCAGACUACGACUGAGGAAUACAAGAGUCCUCUCACAGCACUGGGAGGCUGACAUGGAUCGGGACCUCUGAGUUAUUUAAUGGCAUUCAGCUGUACCCCGUAAGGUGUCUAACAGUUUGAGCCGAGCUGAUGCACGGUUCCUAUUAGGUCUGCUGGGCCAAAUCUGAACCUCUCUUGAUUUUCACACUGGCACAAAACCAGGAGGAAUUUGUCACCAGGGACAGGACCUGAUGGCAGAUACCUGAACAGACGGUGGGGUUUUGUGAAAGGUGAAGGAGAAGAGAGCACAGCAGAAAUUGGGUUGGUUGGUUUUUUUUGUUUGGUUGGGUUUUUUUUGCAAUCUAUUCCUGAUUUCGUUGGCUAGAGGGAAACGAAGGAAAAACUCAAAUAGGGAGCGUGACAUUCAGCUGAACAAAAAGCAAGGUGAACUGCACUUCCAAGUAUAGCUCCUAUGUGAAGACAAAAAGCACUUUCCAAAAUAACUGAACAUUGUAUGUUUACCCAUGAUUAGGGCUGGGCGUUGCCAGAGAAGAAUGUGAAGACAGGAAGAUAAAGGCAGGGAGAGAGGGCUGCUUACAGCUGCCUUUUUAAUUUAUUUCCUUAAAGAUCG
rnacentral:lncRNA from 1 species